rnacentral:rRNA from 1 species
AUUGAACGCUGGCGGCAGGCCUAACACAUGCAAGUCGAGCGGAUGAAGGGAGCUUGCUCCUGGAUUCAGCGGCGGACGGGUGAGUAAUGCCUAGGAAUCUGCCUGGUAGUGGGGGAUUACGUCCGGAUACGGGCGCUAAUACCGCAUACGUACUGUGGGAGCAAGUGGGGGAUCUUCGGACCUCACGCUAUCAGAUGAGCCUAGGUCGGAUUAGCUAGUUGGUGGGGUAAAGGCCUACAAAGGCGACGAUCCUUAACUGGUCUGAGAGGAUGACCAGUCACACUGGAACUGAGACACGGUCCAGACACCUACGGGAGGCAGCAGUGGGGAAUAUUGGACGAUGGACGAAAGCCUGGUCCAGCCAUGCCGCGUGUAGGAAGAAGGUCUUCGGAUUGGAGAGCACUUUAAGUUGGGAGGAAGGGCAGUAAGUUAAUACCUUGCUGUUUUGACGUUACCAACAGAAUAAGCACCGGCUAACUUCGUG